GGACACCUCUUCUCCCCCCCCCCCCCCCACCGAGACCUCUGUCCAUCAUCCGGGCUUUGCUGUUUCCUUCUCUUUGAUCUCAUCUGUUCCUCUCACAGGCUGGUGGCUGCUUGGAGACUUCUCAGGAUUCAUCCUGUUUCUGGCAGAAAAUUAAUUCUUUCAUGUUUUCAUGUUUUAUGUUCUGAGCAGCGUCGGGAGCAGGAACGUGUUCUCCUGCCGAAGUCUCCUCUUAAAAGGAGAGGGACCGCUCCGAUCCAGGUCCGGCUCAGAUCAGGAGGUUCUGGACCCGCUCCGAUCCUGGUCCGGCUCAGAUCAGGAGGUUCUGGACUCGCUCCAGACCAGCCCGGUUCUCAUCAUCCUGGUCUCUGCUCUCUGACUGUAUCUGCUGCGGUUCUCUGGUCCUGCACGGAUCCACGCACAAGCUGCGCCUCACGCCGACUCUCGCUUGUAACUAGGUAACAGAUAAGGCUGCAGCACGAGGGCAACGAGGAGGGGUGUGUGUGUGUGUGUGUGUGUGUGCGCGCGUGUGCAUGUGUGUGUGCGUGCGUGCGUGUGUGUGUGUGUGAGAGAGAGCUGCAGAGCUAAAGGAAAUCUAUACCUGGGCAGCGUCAGUGAUCUGUCCUGCUGGUGGACUUGUGAACUUCUGGGCUUCAUGAACUUCAUGAGAACGCAGGUUCAGUCAGACACUUGGGGAUGUUACACACCUGCUCUGUGGGGGGUCCAGAACCCCUCAGAUGGUUCUGUGACGGUCUUUCAGAAAGAGCUGUGCUGGUUCUGUGUGGCUGCUGAGGGACACUCCCUGGAAGGGUUCUGAUGCAUCGCAUCAGAACCAGAGAAGCUUUCAGACCCACCAGAGUGAUGGGGGGGUCUGGAGGAGGGAGGUCCUCCAAGACUCUGAGCUGUGGACGCAGGAGGACAGCUGUCCUCUCAGCUGAGGGACAAACCUCUCAAACUGUUCAGUCCAGAUGUAUCGAUCGCACCGACCGUCAAUAACUUAUCUCCUGUUUUUAGCUCCUCUGGGAAUCACAGAGUUCCUCUGAGGAGCUGUAAACACCCUGGUUACCGUGGCAACCGUCCAUCUGCUGCUGCGUAACACACUGGUUAUACUGGGACAGAAACUGUUGGUGCCACCCCCCCCC
rnacentral:lncRNA from 1 species